AUCAACUUUCGAUGGUAGGAUAGAGGCCUACCAUGGUGGUAACGGGUAACGGGGUGUUAGGGCACGACACCGGAGAGGGAGCCUGAGAAACGGCUACCACAUCCAAGGAUGGCAGCAGGCGCGCAAAUUACCCAAUCCCGACACGGGGAGGUAGUGACAAUAAAUAACAAUACGGGGUUCUUUCGGAUUUCGUAAUUGGAAUGAGUACAAUUUAAAUCUCUUAACGAGGAACAAUUGGAGGGCAAGUCUGGUGCCAGCAGCCGCGGUAAUUCCAGCUCCAAUAGCGUAUAUUAAAGUUGUUGCAGUUAAAAAGCUCGUAGUUGAAUUUCGGGGUUAGUAGGUCGGUCAUGCCUCAGGUAUGCACUGGUCUCACUGAUUCCUCCUUCCUGAUGAGCCGUAAUGCCAUUAAUUUGGUGUUGCGGGGAAUCUGGACUGUUACUUUGAAAAAAUUAGAGUGUUUAAAGCAGGCUAACGCUUGAAUACAUUAGCAUGGAAUAAUGAAAUAGGACGAGCGAUCCUAUUUUGUUGGUUUCUAGGAUUGACGUAAUGAUUAAUAGGGAUAGUUGGGGGCAUUAGUAUUCAAUUGUCAGAGGUGAAAUUCUUGGAUUUAUUGAAGACUAACUACUGCGAAAGCAUUUGCCAAGGAUGUUUUCAUUAAUCAAGAACGAAAGUUAGGGGAUCGAAGACGAUCAGAUACCGUCGUAGUCUUAACCAUAAACUAUGCCGACUAGGGAUCGGAUGAUGUUAAUUUUUUAAUGACUCAUUCGGCGCCUUACGGGAAACCAAAGUGUUUGGGUUC
rnacentral:rRNA from 1 species